GAUGAACGCUGGCGGCGUGCCUAAUACAUGCAAGUCGAGCGAACAGACGAGGAGCUUGCUCCUUUGACGUUAGCGGCGGACGGGUGAGUAACACGUAGGUAACCUACCUAUAAGACUGGGAUAACUUCGGGAAACCGGAGCUAAUACCGGAUAAUAUUUCGAACCGCAUGGUUCGAUAGUGAAAGAUGGCUUUGCUAUCACUUCUAGAUGGUCCUGCGCCGUAUUAGCUAGUUGGUAAGGUAACGGCUUACCAAGGCAACGAUACGUAGCCGACCUGAGAGGGGGAUCGGCCACACUGGAACUGAGACACGGUCCAGACUCCUGCGGGAGGCAGCAGUAGGGAAUCUUCCGCAAUGGGCGAAAGCCUGACGGAGCAACGCCGCGUGAGUGAUGAAGGUCUUCGGAUCGUAAAACUCUGUUAUUAGGGAAGAACAAACGUGUAAGUAACUGUGCACGUCUUGACGGUACCUAAUCAGAAAGCCACGGCUAACUACGUG
rnacentral:rRNA from 1 species